rnacentral:lncRNA from 1 species
CCCUGCCCAGGGACACGUGCAGCCCAGAGGCUCAGUGCAUUUGCCACGUUCAGAGCCCCUCACUCAGGCUAUUUUUCACAUGAUUUUUGUCUCUGGUGACACCAGCGGUCAAAUUUCUACUGACUUCCCACUGGGCCUACUUUUCCCUUUAAAUCUUUCCGAUUUCCCCAGACCAAGGCUUCACAGGUGAUGCUCUCAAACUGAUCAUCCAUCCUGCAACUAACUAAGGAUGUGCUCGCAUGGUCAUGAGAGAUGGAAUAUGUGUGCUUUAAGAAGGACCCCUGUGGCAAGAGGAAGAAACCUCAAAAGUCAUAGCAUUUUUGGAGAACUCCUGCAUGUUGAGUGGUUGUCUUGGAUGAAGGUGUCCAAAAUGAGGGGGUGCUGUGGUAAUUUAAACUCUCCUGAGCUGUGUUUUCCUGCUGUCCUCCAGCACUUCACAAUUCCUCCAGAAGUUCUCAUCCUCUUCUGUCUGAUGCAAGGGUCUCUCCCAAGCUGUGGUUGCCAUCACUUUAAAAAAGCAGAGCCACUCCAAGGAGUUGCUCAGAAAUAAGAAAAUCUCUCAGUGCUGGACCCUGGCUCACAGAUUAUUCAGGUAAUUUCUUUUUUUUAGCUGGUAUCCUCCCUUCACCUGCAGAGGUGUGAAUUCAUCCCACAUGAUUGUGUUGCUGUGGCUUUGGUUUAGGGUUUUCCAAGCAGUGCUUCACUCUCCAUCUUGUUGCACUCUUAAGCAGUUACCCCCAUGCCCUGUGUCUUUCCCACUCCACAAAAGAGGCCAUCCAGCUGAAGUCACAGUUGCUUGUUUUUAACCAUUCCUUUGAGAUGAGUGCUGAGCUGGAUGUAGAGCUCACCUUCACUAAAGCUCCUGAUCCAUUGACUAAGUGCUUUAUGUCAAAAAAGAGACUUACUGGUAGAAAUCCUGGCUAGCACAGGGAGAAAGCAGAGAGCAGCACCAGGAGAUACCUAGACAGGAGGGUUAAACCCCACGCACACUUUGCCUAGUACCAAAGCCAACUCUAUCCAGGGGCAAGAAAUCCAGAUACGCUUGGCUGGGAUGAGAAAGCCACC